rnacentral:rRNA from 1 species
UAUUGCCUUUCUCAACCCCUGGUGUGGGAAGGUGGGGUAAAUUCCCGCACGAAGGCCACCCCUUUCCUUAGUUUCCCACCCGUUAAGAUGGGCACUUUAAGGAGACUGCCGGUGACAAACCGGAGGAAGGUGGGGAUGACGUCAAGUCAUCAUGGCCCUUACGGCCAGGGCUACACACGUGCUACAAUGGUCGGUACAAAGGGUUGCCAAACCGCGAGGUGGAGCUAAUCCCAUAAAACCGAUCGUAGUCCGGAUUGCAGUCUGCAACUCGACUUGCAUGAAGUCGGAAUCGCUAGUAAUCGCGGAUCAGAA